rnacentral:snoRNA from 1 species
AUGCAGGUACAGUUACAAUGUUUCAUUGUCUUUGCCCCUGCUUAAAGCCUUUUAUGCAUUACUAUAGCUGCCUAGCUCUACCAUAGUAAGGCAGAGACACUUGGUUUCUAACAU